rnacentral:rRNA from 1 species
GUGUCAGCAGCCGCGGUAAGACGAACCGUGCGAACGUUGUUCGGAAUCACUGGGCUUAAAGGGCGCGUAGGCGGGCCGGACGGUCCGGGGUGAAAUCCCCCCGCUCAACGGGGGAACGGCCCCGGAUACCGCCGGCCUCGAGGGGGGUAGGGGCGAGCGGAACGCUGGGUGGAGCGGUGAAAUGCGUUGAUAUCCAGCGGAACUCCGGUGGCGAAGGCGGCUCGCUGGGCCCUCUCUGACGCUGAGGCGCGAAAGCCAGGGGAGCGAACGGGAUUAGAAACCCGAGUAGUCC